CUUUACUGGGGUUGAGAUGUGGGCAGUAGCGGCGAAGCGGAACCUUUAUAUAGGGAUCGUUGCUUCCGGGUUGGUUUUGUGGCGGACUUCCUGUUUACCUCAGGCACAAUCUGAAGGCAGAGUUUCCGUGGUCUUCGCUGAAUCCCGUUUUACUAUUCUUCAGAUUGUGUACAUCACAGUCCUGACACUUGGGACCUGUAACAUGAAGGAACAGCGAGAAGUGGGCAAGCAGGUCAACGAAUGUAGUGAAUAAUGUUCCAACAGCUCUCCCAGGAUGGCAGGGGAUAUCUGAACAAAGUUCAUGCAGCAUGUCACAUGUGACAGACAGAGGUAGACUGAAGAAGUCUGCCUUUCACUAUCAACAUUUUUGCAGAAGGUACAUUUAUUUCUGCAGUUGGACCAUUUAAGAAGGAUGCAUUGCAAGUAAUGGAGAAAAAGUCCUUGUGUUUGCACCUGACAAAUUAAACUUCAAAUAAAAAAUCAGGUAAGAC